AUGCACGGGUCAUCCCACAUUGGUACGCUUGUUUCACUGUCCGUAGUAGCUCGGUAGGCACUGACUGCGUUGUCCCUGUGCCUGAACUCUUCUGCUAGCGCCUCAUCCAUCGCACUCCUGCUGCGCUCAACAUGGAGCACAGGAAAAAAAUGCUGUGCUACGCUAAACCAGCACAGUACCCCACAUCAUGGGAUUUUCAUGCUGACCACAGGACAAAACCAUGGGAAAAAUUCCUUAAGGACAAAAGCCAGAAACCAGAUCCAGGUUCCUGGCAGCAGAAAUAGCAGCUGGACUGAACAAUCGGGCAAGCUGGCAGCAGAAGGUGUGAGAUUCAGGUCUCCAAGAAAGAGUGAGGUGAAUACAGGCUGAAAUGGGAUGUACCAAAGUUCUGAUAUACACUUGACAGGAACCUUUA